CACGUAGGGGGCAAGCGUUGUCCGGAUUUAUUGGGCGUAAAGAGCUCGUAGGCUGUUCGAUAAGUCGGGUGUGAAACCUCCAGGCUCAACCUGGAGACGCCACCCGAUACUGUCAUGACUAGAGUCCGGUAGGGGAGCGUGGAAUUCCUGGUGUAGCGGUGAAAUGCGCAGAUAUCAGGAGGAACACCAGCGGCGAAGGCGGCGCUCUGGGCCGGUACUGACGCUGAGGAGCGAAAGCGUGGGGAUCAAACAGG
rnacentral:rRNA from 1 species